rnacentral:pre_miRNA from 1 species
UAAAUACUCCCUCCGUCCUAAAAUUCUUGUCUUAUGUUUGUCACAUAAGACAAGAAUUUUAGGACGGAGGAAGUAUAAA